CAAGUCCCUGUCGGGUAAGUUUAACCAACCACCCGUAUCGAGUGUUGCGCCUGUGGCGGAGUUUGUGGAUCGAAAGUACUUUCCCGUAUUUUCUUUUCAAAUUAAAUACAGCAAGCGAACAAAACAGGUGAAGCGUACACAGAGAAAUAUAUAGGCCAUAGGGACUGACGUGGUCCUGAAGUGCUGGUAUCGCUCCGAGAAUUGUGAAUUCUGAUUGACGAGGUUUCUUCUUAUAACGCUAGGGCCAUCGAAGUCCAUGCAAAGCAAUCGUAAUGGUUAGAUUGUGGCGAGUCAGCGGCGUCUAUUAAUU
rfam:Oleispira antarctica strain RB-8, complete genome sequence.